UGGAGGGAAUUGUGGGAAUCACCCAUCACUCAUUUUGCUGCCUGCCGGCCGUGUGGCAGGGAGCAAAAUGAGUGAUGGGCGAUUCCCGCAAUUCCCUCCA